rnacentral:rRNA from 1 species
AGAGUUUGAUCCUGGCUCAGGAUGAACGCUAGCUACAGGCUUAACACAUGCAAGUCGAGGGGCAGCAUUGGAGUAGCAAUACUUCAGAUGGCGACCGGCGCACGGGUGAGUAACACGUAUCCAACCUGCCGCUUACUCGGGGAUAGCCUUUCGAAAGAAAGAUUAAUACCCGAUGGUAUAAAGAGUUCGCAUGUUCUCUUUAUUAAAGAAUUUCGGUAAGCGAUGGGGAUGCGUUCCAUUAGAUUGUUGGCGGGGUAACGGCCCACCAAGUCUACGAUGGAUAGGGGUUCUGAGAGGAAGGUCCCCCACAUUGGAACUGAGACACGGUCCAAACUCCUACGGGAGGCAGCAGUGAGGAAUAUUGGUCAAUGGACGAGAGUCUGAACCAGCCAAGUAGCGUGAAGGAUGACUGCCCUAUGGGUUGUAAACUUCUUUUAUAAGGGAAUAAAGUGAGGGACGUGUCCCUUUUUGUAUGUACCUUAUGAAUAAGGAUCGGCUAACUCCGUGCCAGCAGCCGCGGUAAUACGGAGGAUCCGAGCGUUAUCCGGAUUUAUUGGGUUUAAAGGGAGCGUAGGUUGACGUAUAAGUCAGCUGUGAAAGUUUACGGCUCAACCGUGAAAUUGCAGUUGAUACUGUAUGUCUUGAGUGUACAAGAGGUGGGCGGAAUUCGUGGUGUAGCGGUGAAAUGCUUAGAUAUCACGAAGAACUCCAAUUGCGAAGGCAGCUCACUGGGGUACAACUGACACUGAGGCUCGAAAGUGUGGGUAUCAAACAGGAUUAGAUACCCUGGUAGUCCACACAGUAAACGAUGAAUACUCGCUGUUUGCGAUAUACAGUAAGCGGCCAAGCGAAAGCAUUAAGUAUUCCACCUGGGGAGUACGCCGGCAACGGUGAAACUCAAAGGAAUUGACGG